CGGUUUGAUUGAAACUAUCAAGUUUGCUACCGUUUCUCUUCUUCACACCUCCUUCAGAUUGAAGCUUUCCAUUGCACUCUAUUGUCUAUCCUCUCUCUCGAUUUCUUUCUUUCGUCUCUCAACCGUUCUUUCCGUUUCUGAUCGCUCAAGAUCUAUCCGUCUCUUGCGCUUUCUUCACCUCUGAUCUCUCGAGCUCUCUUUGAUUUCGUUGCCAACUCUCUGGCUGUUCUUCCAGUGUCAGGUGUACGCUUGUGAGAUGAACGAAUUUUGGUUCUGUUCUGAUGUGUGAGAUCUUGAAUACUUUAAGUGCCCAAGGGCUGUUCUAGAGGGAAGAUAUUGGGUGUUGCAUUACCUUUAGGUGUUAAGAGAGGCCUUCAAUAUGCGUACAUAUGCAAGGCGAAAAAAUCAUGAUUCCAACCAAUUGGUAGCGAGUAAAAGGUUGGCUUUAUGUAAUUAGGGAGAAUAUCGGGUAUGCAUGCACAAAGUGAUUUCCUACACCCAUAACUUGUAAUUCUACUACAUAGUUGCAUGGGGAAAGGCUGAAAGGAGGAGGGGAGAUGGUUCAUUUUUGGCUUUAGAUUAUGUUGGAGAGUAUUAGACCUCUCAAACAUCUGAGAGGGCUGUAAUUGUUCUUCUUCUACUCAGUAAUAUGAUUAUUUUUUUGGUGUGUUCUAUGAAUACCCUCUUUCUAUUUACACUCUAAAGGACUUAACAUUUUCUAUUCUGCUUGUGUAAUAUCUGCAUGUGGUUCAUUUAGACAACCUGCUAAUCAUACCUAUGGUGAGAGAGAUCAGCUGAUUAAUUUCGUUGAUAUACUUUCUGAAGUCUGAUUUUCCAGUAUACAGUGAAAUUAGGUGACUAGUGUUUUUCUCUUCUAUUUCUCUCUUUUUAGAUUUUGAGGUAGGUUAAAUGAUGAAAUAACAGAAAUAGCUAGUGGUUGAGGACUCGUAAUGAAACCUCCAACUGAGUUCUACCCCUUAACACCAUCCAAAUCGCAAUGUUUUCUUUAAAUGCUAUCUUUUUUCUCCUAGAUCUUUAACCCGUAAUCUUCACAGUUAUUGUUUGUUAGUUUUUGGAACUCAAAGUAGUCGCUUAAGCAUGGCUGAAAAUGUUGAACGAUUUUUGUAAAUAAAGCAUAGACAGGAACAGAGAAUGAAGAAGUGGUUGUCUUCUCCUACUUGAUUAGACAUAACACUUCUUAGAGGUUACAUGCUGAAAAGGUUGAAACGAUUUUUGUAAAUAAAGCAUGGGCAGGAACAGAGAAUGAAGAAGUGGUUUGUCUUCUCCUACUCCGUUAGACAUAACACUUCUUAGAGGUUACAGGCUGAAAAUGUUGAAACCAUUUUUGUAAAUAAAGCAUGGACAGGAACAGAGAAUGAAGAAGUGGUUUGUCUUCUCCUACUCCAUUAAAUAUAACACUUAGAGGUUACAUUUCUACACUUGCGGUUACAUUCAUAAUUCAUUAGCAUUAGUUUAUCACGAGACACUUAUUUAUUAGGUUUGAAUUACGGGAAUGUAUAAUGCCUAGGUUGUAAGGUGCAUUAUCUAUAAUGCAUGGUUUUCUUCUACAACUUAGGCCUUAUCAAAACAUAGGCCUUUGAACCGCAGGCUAUAUAUUCUCGGGCUUUUUAAAUCAACAGGAAAAAUGCCAGCUUACAGAUCUAUAUUGUGGGGCUUGGAGGGAGAGGAACAAUAGAAUGUUUAAUUUUUAGAGGGGUGGAUAGGGAAACUUGGGAUAUUUGGUCCUCUACUAGGUUCCAUUUUUGCCUUUGGAGGUUAGUGACAAAGUCCUUUUGUAAUUAUUCGUUAGGUAUUUUGUUAGUCGAAUGGAAUCGCAUUCUUCAGUGGGACUUUAUUUUAGGGGCUUAUAUUUUUGGAUGCUCUAGUGUUCUUUUACUUUUUCUCAAUGUAAGUUUGGUUCUUCGUCAUAAAAUUUGCUAGCUUACAGAUCUAUCAAGCAAGUGAGAAAAAUAUAAUUAUAUUUAGAAGGUUAAAAAUCACUUUUAGUUCCUAAACUUUCAUAGAAGUAACAAUUUAGUCCCUGAAUUUUGAUUUGUAACGAUUUAGUCCUUGUACUUUUAAUUUUGUAAUAAUUUAGUCCUUGGAUUUUAAUAUUUAACAAUUCAGUCCUUAUAAUUUCAAAUUUGCCCAUGGGAAGGUUUAAUGAUUUUUCUUACAUAAAUAAACCGAUAAACUAAUUAAAGAUUCAAUAUUUUUAUUACAAAGUCUACAUCAUAAAAUAAUAAAAAUUGACAUAAACUUUUGAUGAAUUUUUUUACAUUAGGGACUAAAUUGUUACAAAUUUGAAAGACAGUAAGGACUAAAUUAUAC